rnacentral:rRNA from 1 species
AGAUUGAACGCUGGCGGCAUGCCUAACACAUGCAAGUCGAACGGGAGUAGCAAUACUCUAGUGGCGGACGGGUGAGGAAUACGUAGGAAUUUGCCCUUAAGUGGGGGAUAACCCGGGGAAACCCGGAUUAAUACCGCAUGACCUCGAAAGAGCAAAGUGGGGGAUCGCAAGACCUCACGCCUUUGGAGAAGCCUACGUCGGAUUAGCUAGUUGGUGAGGUAAUGGCUCACCAAGGCGACGAUCCGUAACUGGUCUGAGAGGAUGAUCAGUCACACCGGAACUGAGACACGGUCCGGACUCCUACGGGAGGCAGCAGUGGGGAAUAUUGGACAAGUGGGCG